rnacentral:lncRNA from 1 species
UUGAAUAAUAAGUAAUAAGAAUAUUUUUUUAUUUUUUCUAAAGAAUGAUUUUUCUAAACGAGUUAAAUAAACUAUAUAGUUCAAGUAAAGCAAGAUUGAUGGAACUAUUGUAUUCAAAAUACGUUAAAUUCUUAUUUAAAGUGAGGGAUAUUUCUCGAAGGUUAUUGAGAUACGAAGAAUUUAUAUAUAGCUAGCGGAACUUCAGAUAAUUUUAGAAGGAGAAUCGGCGAUUUUAACGGAGUUUAUUGUAACUAUUUUUGUUAAUAACAAACUACGAGAGUUGAAAUUGAGUAUAAAUGUCAAAAUUAUACGAGUUACAAAGAUAAAACAGACCUCGAUUAAUAGAUAUAUAUAUAAGCUACUUCCAAUAGUGCUGAUGAGGAACGAUUGAGAAAUGGAGACAUAUUUUCAUCUAGGAAGGGAAAUUAAAUGAAGUAAUUGAGAUAAUUCUCCUGAUGAAUAUAAUAUUUCGUGAUAGGGACCAUAAUCAAUAAUUAAACAUUUGCAGGAUGGAAUCUCCUGAUGGGAUCACUCAGUGGAUGGAGAGAUAAAAGAUUUUCGAGUGAAUGCAUCUUUCAUCGGCACACUAAACCCAGAUAUUAUUGGUUUAAUUUUAGAAACAAGCCAGAAUUACUUUUUACUAAGAGAAAAAUUCAUUGGACGUCUUAUUACUUAAAGCAAUUUUUAGUUUCUUGGUGGUUCUUUUGGCUUAAUUUAAUUCUUUAAUUCGUUUCGCUCAAUUCAAAAUACAUUUUUCCACAUACAGUUCCCAUAUAAAAUAUCGUCUUUUUUUUUAAAUAAUAGUAUGCCUGCAAAGUAUGUAUAAAUUAGCAACACGCAUAGAAAAACAUGUGCACAGCUUUCUAUUCUGCGUAAUUUCAUUAUACGACAUUUAUUUUUACUUUAAUACCAAAAUAAUUAAUAAAAACAGGAUAUUUUUCUAAGAUAAACGUUCUGAUUUCCUCUCUACUG